GGAGAAGUGAAAAGGAAAGAAGAUGGAAUGGAGCAGUCAUCAACCCCAAGUCGGAGUGGAGUCAUUGUUUUGGUAAAGCCAAUUAAUAACCAAUUAGUCCUUCCCAGCACGCCUCUCUCUCUCUCUCUCUCUCCGAUCCAGGAAACCUCGCUCACAGCUGUAACCACCGACUGCUCCAAGUGCCGACAAAAACAUUCUCUAAUUUAUUGUUCAUCCAUUAGUUAUCCAGAUCCAACUCGUCGUUCUAACUCAGUAUCCAGUUGAUCAGAUCACCGAGUCAAUAAGCGAUUUCAUUCAAUGGCCCUCCCGGUGGGGGUAUGUUAGAGCCACCGGUGGAGGCUAGGGUUUUUGUUCUGCUCAUUAGCCAUGUCUUCGACGACCUCUCCGAGUCCGCCGACGAGCUGGCGCGAGGGAAUGUCCUCUGACAACGUCAAGGGCCUUGUUCUUGCUCUCUCGUCCAGCGUCUUCAUCGGCGCCAGCUUCAUUGUCAAGAAGAAGGGCUUGAAGAAGGCCGGCGCUUCUGGAGUCCGAGCAGGUGUUGGAGGCUAUUCUUACUUAUAUGAGCCACUUUGGUGGGUCGGCAUGAUAACAAUGAUUGUCGGAGAAGUUGCUAAUUUUGCGGCUUAUGCGUUUGCACCAGCUAUUCUGGUCACUCCUCUUGGGGCUCUCAGCAUUAUCAUCAGUGCUGCACUUGCACAUGUUAUCUUACAGGAGAAGCUACAUAUUUUUGGAAUUCUUGGUUGUGUUUUGUGUGUUGUGGGCUCUACUACAAUUGUUCUACAUGCUCCUCAAGAGUGUGAGAUUGAAUCCGUGACAGAAGUUUGGGAUCUUGCUAUGGAGCCAGCUUUUCUCAUGUAUGCAGCUUUGGUCAUAACGGCUGCAUUUAUUCUUAUAUUCUGUUUUAUACCCGAGUAUGGCCAGACACACAUAAUGGUUUACAUUGGAGUUUGUUCCCUUGUAGGUUCUCUGUCGGUCAUGAGUGUCAAAGCACUAGGAAUUGCUCUGAAGUUGACAUUGUCGGGAAUGAAUCAACUAAUUUAUCCACAAACUUGGUUAUUCACUUUCGUUGUAAUUACUUGUGUUCUUACACAAAUGAACUAUUUGAACAAGGCACUCGAUACAUUUAACACGGCCGUGGUAUCUCCGAUAUACUAUGUCAUGUUCACCUCACUUACUAUUUUGGCUAGUGUGAUCAUGUUUAAGGACUGGGAUAGGCAGAGUCCAACCCAGGUAGUCACAGAAAUGUGUGGGUUUGUGACCAUCCUUUCAGGAACUUUUCUUCUUCACAAAACAAAGGAUAUGGCAGAUGGUUUGUCAACAGCUCUAUGCUUGCGACUUUCUAAACACUCAGAAGACGAUAUCCUUAAUGGUGGUGAAGGCAUCCCUCUUAAGCGGCAGGAAUCUUUUAGAUGACCAUGAUCUAUGCAUCAUUCCUCCAGUCGCUUAAAGAAAAAUAAGAUUGCAUGCUUUUUCUUGGGCACGGAAGUUGCUGAUGCAACCUGUAUUUUAUGCAGCUAUUCAUCCGAAUCAUGUUCUUCGAUAGAAAAAGAGAAGAAGUCUAGGAAGGGGUUACUGCACGUGGAAUAUGCACAUCUCCCUCCGCAAAGAUGAGCCAUUAAAGAUGAUAUAGGGGAGAACAGGAUUGAAGAUAAAUGCUAGGGGUACACUCUUUUGUUUCAAUAGGAUUAUAAAUUGAUGUAGGAAUUUACGUGGACAGUCCACAUGUUUGGGAAGCCACCACUCGUAUAAAAAAAAGAUUAAAACUAAAUUAUUAUUUAAAAAAAGUUUAAGGGUGGUAGCCAAACUCAUGGUUGGCCGCCUACUCCCUUUAG